rnacentral:rRNA from 2 species
GUCGAACGAGCUCUCCUAAAUUGAUUUUAUGCUUGCAUAAAUGAUUUUUAGAUUCGGAGCGAGUGGCGAACUGGUGAGUAACACGUGGGUAACCUGCCCCGAAGCGGGGGAUAACAUUUGGAAACAAAUGCUAAUACCGCAUAAUUAGUUGGAACCGCAUGGUUCCAACUUGAAAGAUGGCUCUGCUAUCACUUUGGGAUGGACCCGCGCCGUAUUAGUUAGUUGGUGAGAUAAAAGCCCACCAAGACGAUGAUACGUAGCCGACCUGAGAGGGUAAUCGGCCACAUUGGGACUGAGACACGGCCCAGACUCCUACGGGAGGCAGCAGUAGGGAAUCUUCCACAAUGGACGAAAGUCUGAUGGAGCAACGCCGCGUGAGUGAUGAAGGUUUUCGGAUCGUAAAACUCUGUUGUUAAAGAAAAACAAGUGUUAGAGUAACUGUUAACACUUUGACGGUAUUUAACCAGAAAGCCACGGCUAACUACGUGCCAGCAGCCGCGGUAAUACGUAGGUGGCAAGCGUUGUCCGGAUUUAUUGGGCGUAAAGCGAGCGCAGGCGGUUUUGUAAGUCUGCUGUGAAAGCCCUCAGCUCAACUGAGGAAGUGCAGUGGAAACUACAAAACUUGAGUACAGAAGAGGAAAGUGGAACUCCAUGUGUAGCGGUGAAAUGCGUAGAUAUAUGGAAGAACACCAGUGGCGAAGGCGGCUUUCUGGUCUGUUACUGACGCUGAGGCUCGAAAGCAUGGGUAGCGAACAGGAUUAGAUACCCUGGUAGUCCAUGCCGUAAACGAUGAAUACUAGGUGUUGGAGGGUUUCCGCCCUUCAGUGCCGCAGCUAACGCAUUAAGUAUUCCGCCUGGGGAGUACGACCGCAAGGUUGAAACUCAAAGGAAUUGACGGGGGCCCGCACAAGUGGUGGAGCAUGUGGUUUAAUUCGAUGCUACGCGAAGAACCUUACCAGCUCUUGACAUCUUCUGCCAACCCAAGAGAUUGGGCGUUCCCUUCGGGGACAGAAUGACAGGUGGUGCAUGGUUGUCGUCAGCUCGUGUCGUGAGAUGUUGGGUUAAGUCCCGCAACGAGCGCAACCCUUAUUAUUAGUUGCCAGCAUUUAGUUGGGCACUCUAGUGAGACUGCCGGUGAUAAACCGGAGGAAGGUGGGGACGACGUCAAAUCAUCAUGCCCCUUAUGAGCUGGGCUACACACGUGCUACAAUGGAUGGUACAACGAGUCGCGAAACCGCGAGGUCAAGCUAAUCUCUUAAAGCCAUUCUCAGUUCGGAUUGCAGGCUGCAACUCGCCUGCAUGAAGUUGGAAUCACUAGUAAUCGU